rnacentral:pre_miRNA from 1 species
AGUGGGAUAGCUGGGUCAAAUGGUGGUCCCAUUUCCCAUUUUCGGAGGAAGCUCCUUAGCUUUCCAGAGUGGUUGUACCAAUUUGCAUUCCCACCAGCAGU